rnacentral:rRNA from 1 species
AUUGAACGCUGGCGGCAGGCCUAACACAUGCAAGUCGGACGGUAGCACAGAGGAGCUUGCUCCUCGGGUGACGAGUGGCGGACGGGUGAGUAAUGUCUGGGGAUCUGCCCGAUAGAGGGGGGUAACCACUGGAAACGGUGGCUAAUACCGCAUAACGUCGCAAGACCAAAGAGGGGGACCUUCGGGCCUCUCACUAUCGGAUGAACCCAGAUGGGAUUAGCUAGUAGGCGGGGUAACGGCCCACCUAGGCGACGAUCCCUAGCCGGUCUGAGAGGAUGACCAGCCACACUGGAACUGAGACACGGUCCAGACUCCUACGGGAGGCAGCAGUGGGGAAUAUUGCACAAUGGGCGCAAGCCUGAUGCAGCCAUGCCGCGUGUAUGAGGAAGGCCUUCGGGUUGUAAAGUACUUUCAGCGGGGAGGAAGGCGAUGUGGUUAAUAACCGCAUUGAUUGACGUUACCCGCAGAAGAAGCACCGGCUAACUCCGUGCCAGCCGCCGCCGUAA